GUUUUUUAUUUUUAUCUCUACCCUAUUUUUAAUACCAUUACUGCCUACUGUUGAUCACAGUUACUACUAUGUGUUACAUUGUUUAUGAUGUCAUCAUUGGAAUCUUGCAGGACCGAUCAGCCAUUUCCUCAUCAUGCACUUUAACAUACCUAUUGAUCUACUAUGUAUUAUGACCAAGCAAAUGUGCUGGUUACAUUGUUUAUCACAUGUUAUUUUGUCUAUCAUGUUAUUAUUGGAAAUUUACUAUGACUGAUCGAUCAUGUCUCCAUUAUGCAUUUUAACACAUUAUAUACAAUUUUUUAUCUUAUGUGCAAUAUAUCCCUAUAUGCCAAUAAUAAACAGUCUAAUUUAUUAUAUCUACUGAUUCGUUCUGCCCUAAUGCUUUGUUUCAUUUAAAGUCCCAACCUUCCCUUAGUCCCCAAUAGUCCCCUUUUUUUCCAUAUUACCGGGGAUGGAGGCUUGUGUGCCGGACGGCCACAGUCUCAUUUAAAGUCCCACCUUUUUGAUUUUUGUGUUUAGUAACCCUAAAAUCUAUGAUUCUCAACUGAAUAGGGAUGGAAACAUUACAUUUAUUUACUUUAAUAUCCCAUGCAUUAUUGGUUACCUACCCCCUAUGCCGCCUUGGAACAUGCCAUCCUCUCAUAGGAUUACCUACUACAUGUUUGUUGCGAGGCGUACUUUAUCUGGGGGUUGGGCAUUUGUCACCUCAGCAAUCGGGAGCUGCGAUGCGCACCGCGGCGUUCCCCCAGGCCCCCUCCGUCUACUGACCACGGGGUUGGGGGGACGCACUCGCUACGCAUCGACGUCACGCCCUCAGGCUCACACGCCCGGCAUCCUUCGUUGAUGCCACGUGAUGACGCAUUGAUUUUCUAUCAGCGCUUGCCAAUGGGGAGGAGCCGGGCGCCCGCAUAUAGGAGACUCUGCUUGUGUGCGGCAUUCGCUCCUCUCUCGCACGCUGGCGUGGCGUUCAGUGGGGUUAGACACUGGCAGGCACGGUCUUCCUUCUCUUCUAUCAUCCCUUCUGAUCACUUCCACUGUUCCCUACUUGUUUUCAUCUACCAUCAGGUAAUAGUCACUCCAAUCACGUUGGUGGCUUUUUUGCCACCACCUUGCAUGUUUUAUACUUCUCUCACCCUGGGUUCUUACUUGGUAUGUUUUUUUUUUUCACUUUUUCACUUCCUUUUCUUUGGUCUUUAUAAUUUAGCCAAGCUCAUUAUCCUGAUGCAUGGCCUUUUUACAUUGCUUUUACAGAAGCCUUUCGGGGCUCUUACUUGCUAUCGUAUCAUUGAACAAGAUAAUCACCACUUCAGCACUUUCUACACCUCGAGACUGGAUCUCGGUUGCCGCCAAUCUGUUCCCAUGUCAGCUCCCGCUGGGGUCACUCUCCUCUCCCCCUUGAUGCCUCUUAUCAACAUCAUUACUCUCUACCUUGUCAUAUAUUUUACCCCAGGUAUCCUUAGCUCCUAAUUGCUCCUGAUGAGUGGAAAAGUCCACGAAACGCGUCGAGCCUACCCCAUAGAUGAUAUGUCACCGUAAUCAUGGAUACAACCAUGGGCAUGUGAAUGUUCGAAUCAUGUACCCCUAUAUAUUACUUUUUUGGUUUUACUAUUUUUGGAUAUACUGCUGAUCACAGUACUUAUUAUGCUACAUUGUUUAUCAUUCUACCAUCUUAAUUUUUCAUGAUCAAUCAGUCAUGUCAUUACUACUUAUCUUAUACACAUUAUUGACCUACUAUGUAUACCCAAUUGCUGGCUACAUUGUUCAGUAUGUGUUACAUUGCCCAUCAUGUUAUCUUUACUACUCAUUCAUGACUGACUCCUCAUGUUUUUUAUUUUUAUCUCUACCCUAUUUUUAAUACCAUUACUGCCUACUGUUGAUCACAGUUACUACUAUGUGUUACAUUGUUUAUGAUGUCAUCAUUGGAAUCUUGCAGGACCGAUCAGCCAUUUCCUCAUCAUGCACUUUAACAUACCUAUUGAUCUACUAUGUAUUAUGACCAAGCAAAUGUGCUGGUUACAUUGUUUAUCACAUGUUAUUUUGUCUAUCAUGUUAUUAUUGGAAAUUUACUAUGACUGAUCGAUCAUGUCUCCAUUAUGCAUUUUAACACAUUAUAUACAAUUUUUUAUCUUAUGUGCAAUAUAUCCCUAUAUGCCAAUAAUAAACAGUCUAAUUUAUUAUAUCUA